rnacentral:rRNA from 1 species
UACGUAGGGUGCAAGCGUUGUCCGGAAUUAUUGGGCGUAAAGAGCUUGUAGGCGGUUGUCGCGUCUGCUGUGAAAUUUCGGGGCUCAACCCCGAACUUGCAGUGGGUACGGGCAGACUAGAGUGUGGUAGGGGAGACUGGAAUUCCUGGUGUAGCGGUGAAAUGCGCAGAUAUCAGGAGGAACACCGAUGGCGAAGGCAGGUCUCUGGGCCACUACUGACGCUGAGAAGCGAAAGCAUGGGAGCGAACAGG